rnacentral:misc_RNA from 1 species
GAUGAAGAACGUAGCGAAAUGCGAUAAGUAAUGCGAAUUGCAGAAUCCGUGAGUCAUCGAAUCUUUGAACGCACAUUGCGCCCUUUGGUAUUCCGAAGGGCAUGCCUGUUCGAGCGUCAUUAUCACCACUCAAGCCCGGCUUGCUGUUGGUGGCAGCGCAGCCGGUCAACCGGCUACGCUCCACCCACAGAUAAUGACGGCGUCUGCGAGGACUCCUGUACAUUGAGCUUUCGGGCACGUACAUGGCUAGAAGUCCAGGCGCCGGUCGACGUCCUCCGGGACACUUUUUACCAAGGUUGACCUCGGAUCAGGUAGGGAUACCCGCUGAACUUAAGCAUAUCAAUAAGCGGAGGA